rnacentral:rRNA from 1 species
CCUACGGGAGGCAGCAGUGAGGAAUAUUGGUCAAUGGGCGCGAGCCUGAACCAGCCAAGUCGCGUGAGGGAAGACGGUCCUAUGGAUUGUAAACCUCUUUUGUCGGGGAGCAAAAGACGCCACGCGUGGCGUUCCGAGAGUACCCGAAGAAAAAGCAUCGGCUAACUCCGUGCCAGCAGCCGCGGUAAUACGGAGGAGGCGAGCGUUAUCCGGAUUUAUUGGGGUUAAAGGGUGCGCAGGCGGAAGAUCAAGUCAGCGGUAAAAUUGAGAGGCUCAACCUCUUCGAGCCGUUGAAACUGGUUUUCUUGAGUGCGCGAGACGUAUGCGGAAUGCGUGGUGUCGCGGUGCACUGCCUAGCUCUCACGCAGCACUCCGAUUGCGAAGGCAGCCUCCCGGCGCUCAACUGACGCUCAUGCACGAACGUGUGGGUAUCGAACAGGCUUAGCUACCCUUGUCGUC